UAUAGCUCUUAAUCUGUGUUUAAAAAGGCGCUCGCCUUGAGCCUAGGCGAUAGCUCCAUCGCCAUGCACAUCCCAGGCGAGGGUAUGGUCCCUAAGGCGCUCGCCUAGUGCGCUUUGGCCAUAAGGCGGUGCCUUCAAAGGCGACGCAAAGGCGCGCGUUGGAGACCCUAUGUUAACCGACACUAAACCAGUUUCAAGUGGUCUUCAAGGCGAGCGCCUCGAUGCGCCAUGGCACAAGGCGCAAGGCACAUACUUCAUCGCCAUGGAGCGCCAUACGCCUUUUUAAACACAGUUUGUAAACGGAUAAAAUAUACAAAAGAACCAGUAGUGAUACCACAGAAGUCAGAGAGCACAAAUCGAGAACUGAACUAAGCUAUGGUUCGAUUCUAGAAUAAUGAAUUCGUUUAAACCGAAACAAAAUUUGAUGAAAACGGCGUGAAUCACACAAGAAGCAGAGACAUACAAGAAACCACAAAGUAGCCACUUUAGACAUUAUAA